rnacentral:lncRNA from 1 species
CAUAAACUCCUCAUUAAGCUUCCUAUUAGAACAGUGAUAUUUAUAAUUCACAAAUUAUAUAGCGAUUAAUUGUUUCAUGAUUGCCCAUUUGGAAUCUUAAUUCAAUUUGCGUUCUUUCUGUUUCUUUCUCGAGAAUUGAUCUUGGGUUUAGAUGAAUUCACUUUCGGAACCUAUCAACAGUGUAGUUCACAGCAAGUCAAUUGGAGCGGUCUUCUCCGAUUUUGUUAGUACUCUGUUUUCGAUUUUCUGUUUCCUGCAUUUUUCGUUUAUGCUAAAGUUGUGAUUAUUUACUUGAAAGUUUUGUAUUAAUUUGCAAAUUCGUUUCGCGACAAACUGGGAAUGUGGGUAUUAUGUGUAAGCGUGUGUAUGUGUAAUUUGGUAGAAUGGUGUUGGAAUGAAUCAGUUUAAUGUUAUGUUGAAAUUAAAGUACUCUAGAUGAUCAGGAUUUGGAACAUUGGUUUAACUCUAGAUUAUAUACAUGUCUUGUUCAGCGUGGAAAAAUAAAUUCCAUUGAUUUUCAUAGGACAGUUGAUUUAUUAGUAACAGUUCGUGACAACGAUUCGGUGCGACUUUAUGACAUCACAAGUGCCAAGAAAGACAGUUAGCUAGACAUAAGAACCUGAGCAACCUCGUUGAACCCACAUCUCCUUUUCCCUGGAGGAUUUUACCUCUAAUUACUGUGUAUAAAAUUUAGGUUGCUGAAAACUACAUAUCACAAGAAGCAUGGAGCUGAUAGGAUAUGUUUUACUCACCACCAGGGUUCUGUCACGUGCAAUUCAAGGCACAAUUUGGAUUCCUAUGGAGUUUAGUGGCUUUAGCCUUAUAUUUAUGAUUUUGGAACUAUGACAUCGAAGUUCUGACAUUUUUUCUCUUCGCGAUCAUUUUGUUGCCAGAAAUAUUAUGGUAUGACAAUAGGUGCCUUCGCAACUUUACGGGUCACAAAGAGAGGUGAGAUCUCAUGCCUUACUUGGUUUAUCUUCCACUAAUUGCUGAUAGUAGGAGAGCAAGAUCGCUCCAAUAAGUAAUUCUACCCGCAUUAUUUACUAAGAUUGAUUUGGAGAUUUUUACUUGGAUGCAUUCAUAACAGAGGGAAAUCUGUUCAUGCAUUUUCAUCCCAUGCAAUUUAGUAGAAGAGGAUAUAUUCUUUGAGUUUG